rnacentral:rRNA from 1 species
GAUGAACGCUGGCGGCGUGCCUAAUACAUGCAAGUCGAGCGAACAGACGAGGAGCUUGCUCCUCUGACGUUAGCGGCGGACGGGUGAGUAACACGUGGAUAACCUACCUAUAAGACUGGGAUAACUUCGGGAAACCGGAGCUAAUACCGGAUAAUAUAUUGAACCGCAUGGUUCAAUAGUGAAAGACGGUUUUGCUGUCACUUAUAGAUGGAUCCGCGCCGCAUUAGCUAGUUGGUAAGGUAACGGCUUACCAAGGCGACGAUGCGUAGCCGACCUGGGAGGGUGAGCGGCCACACUGGCACUGAGACACGGUCCAGACUCCUACGGGAGGCAGCAGUAGGGAAUCUUCCGAAAUGGGCGAAAGCCUGACGGAGCAACGCCGCGUGAGUGAUGAAGGUCUUCGGAUCGUAAAACUCUGUUAUUAGGGAAGAACAAAUGUGUAAGUAACUAUGAACGUCUUGACGGUACCUAAUCAGAAAGCCACGGCUAACUACGUG